CAAUUUUUCACAGAUAACAAUAAAGACAAUAUAGCAGCAAAGAGUUUGAAACAACUCAAUAAAUAGGCACAUUGGUUUAAACCAAUAUGUACAAAUGUGUUAUUUGAAAUUCCAUAAACUGAAUGCCUUUCACUUAGCCCCACUCUUAAUCUGAAACUGAAAGUAUAUAGCCAUAUAAACAGUACAGUAACAGGGAGUUCGCUAUAAAUCAGAAUAAUAAUAAUCAGAAUAA
rnacentral:lncRNA from 1 species